rnacentral:lncRNA from 1 species
UGCGCAGAGCCCAUUGAUGGCUGCUGAGUUUUAAUCUUUGUAUAGAACACGCUCCGUGACCCCGACAGAGGAAAAGCAGCAAAGUCCUACAUCUAUGGAUGUGUUUAGAAGCGCCAAAUGAUCAAAGUUAACGCUGCGCAGCAGCGACUGAGUUACCCCCAUUAUCUCACGUCCCCGGCUUUGACAGACCGCAUCACUCAGUGCGUGGACGUAUCGCUAUUUGAUACACCAUGAAUAUUCAGGGCGCAUAUUCAAUUAACCAGGUGAGAACACACAGGUUUGUUUUGCAU